rnacentral:rRNA from 1 species
AUUGAACGCUGGCGGCAGGCCUAACACAUGCAAGUCGAACGGUAACAGGAAGCAGCUUGCUGCUUUGCUGACGAGUGGCGGACGGGUGAGUAAUGUCUGGGAAACUGCCUGAUGGAGGGGGAUAACUACUGGAAACGGUAGCUAAUACCGCAUAACGUCGCAAGACCAAAGAGGGGGACCUUAGGGCCUCUUGCCAUCGGAUGUGCCCAGAUGGGAUUAGCUAGUAGGUGGGGUAACGGCUCACCUAGGCGACGAUCCCUAGCUGGUCUGAGAGGAUGACCAGCCACACUGGAACCGAGACACGGUCCAGACUCCUACGGGAGGCAGCAGUGGGGAAUAUUGCACAAUGGGCGCAAGCCUGAUGCAGCCAUGCCGCGUGUAUGAAGAAGGCCUUCGGGUUGUAAAGUACUUUCAGCGGGGAGGAAGGGAGUAAAGUUAAUACCUUUGCUCAUUGACGUUACCCGCAGAAGAAGCACCGGCUAACUCCGUG